rnacentral:rRNA from 1 species
UACGUAGGGGGCUAGCGUUGUCCGGAUUCAUUGGGCGUAAAGCGCGUGUAGGCGGCCAGGUAGGUCCGAUGUGAAAACUGGAGGCUCAACCUCCAGCUGUCAUUGGAAACCAUCUGGCUAGAGUCCGGAAGAGGAGAGUGGGAUUCCUGGUGUAGCGGUGAAAUGCGCAGAUAUCAGGAAGAACACCAGUGGCGAAGGCGACUACCUGGCCUGUUCUUGACGCUGAGGCGCGAAAGCUAGGGGAGCAAACGGG